UGGGGAAUAUUGCACAAUGGGCGCAAGCCUGAUGCAGCCAUGCCGCGUGUGUGAAGAAGGCCUUCGGGUUGUAAAGCACUUUCAGCGGGGAGGAAGGCGUUAAGGUUAAUAACCUUGGCGAUUGACGUUACCCGCAGAAGAAGCACCGGCUAACUCCGUGCCAGCAGCCGCGGUAAUACGGAGGGUGCAAGCAUUAAUCGGAAUUACUGGGCGUAAAGCGCACGCAGGCGGUUUGUUAAGUCAGAUGUGAAAUCCCCGGGCUCAACCUGGGAACUGCAUCUGAUACUGGCAAGCUUGAGUCUCGUAGAGGGGGGUAGAAUUCCAGGUGUAGCGGUGAAAUGCGUAGAGAUCUGGAGGAAUACCGGUGGCGAAGGCGGCCCCCUGGACGAAGACUGACGCUCAGGUGCGAAAGCGUGGGGAGCAAACAGG
rnacentral:rRNA from 1 species